UACGUAGGGAGCAAGCGUUGUUCGGAUUUACUGGGCGUAAAGGGCGCGUAGGCGGCAAAUUAAGUCAGCUGUGAAAUCUCCGAGCUUAACUCGGAACUGUCAGCUGAUACUGAUCUGCUAGAGUGCGGAAGGGGCAAUCGGAACUCUUGGUGUAGCGGUGAAAUGCGUAGAUAUCAAGAGGAACACCUGAGGUGAAGACGGGUUGCUGGGCCGACACUGACGCUGAGUGCGCGAAAGCCAGGGGAGCAAACGGG
rnacentral:rRNA from 1 species